rnacentral:rRNA from 1 species
GACGAACGCUGGCGGCGUGCUUAACACAUGCAAGUCGAACGAAGAGCGACGGAAGCUUGCUUCUAUCAAUCUUAGUGGCGAACGGGUGAGUAACGCGUAAUCAACCUGCCCUUCAGAGGGGGACAACAGUUGGAAACGACUGCUAAUACCGCAUACGAUCUAAUCUCGUCAUCGAGGAUGGAUGAACGGUGGCCUCUACAUGUAAGCUACCACUGAAGGAGGGGAUUGCGUCUGAUUAGCUAGUUGGAGGGGUAACGGCCCACCAAGGCGAUGAUCAGUAGCCGGUCGGAGAGGAGGAACGGCAACAUUGGGACUGAGACACGGCCCAGACUCCUACGGGAGGCAGCAGUGGGGAAUCUUCCGCAAUGGACGAAAGUCUGACGGAGCAACGCCGCGUGAGUGAUGACGGCCUUCGGGUUGUAAAGCUCUGUUAAUCGGGACGAAAGGCCUUCUUGCGAAUAGUGAGAAGGAUUGACGGUACCGGAAUAGAAAGCCACGGCUAACUACGUG